rnacentral:rRNA from 1 species
AGCGAACGCUGGCGGCAGGCCUAACACAUGCAAGUCGAACGAACCCUUCGGGGUUAGUGGCGGACGGGUGAGUAACACGCGGGAACGUGCCUUUAGGUUCGGAAUAACUCAGGGAAACUUGUGCUAAUACCGAAUGUGCCCUUCGGGGGAAAGAUUUAUAGCCUUUAGAGCGGCCCGCGUCUAAUUAGCUAGUUGGUGAGGUAAUGGCUCACCAAGGCUACGCUCAGUAGCUGGUUUGAGAGGAUGGCCAGCCACAUUGGGACUGAGACACGGACCAAACUCCUACGGGAGGCAGCAGUGGGGAAUCUUGCGCAAUGGGCGAAAGUCUGACGCAGCCAUGCCGCGUGGAUGAUGAAGGUCUUAGGAUUGUAAAAUCCUUUCACCGGUGAAGAUAAUGACUGUAGCCGGAGAAGAAGCACCGGCUAACUUCGUGCCAGCCGCCGCAGUAAUAC